GUCCAGACUCCUACGGGAGGCAGCAGUGGGGGAUAUUGCACAAUGGGGGGAACCCUGAUGCAGCGACGCCGCGUGGGUGAAGGAGCGUUUCGGCGCGUAAAGCCCUAUCGGCAGGGAAGAAGGAGGACGGUACCUGACUAAGAAGCCCCGGCUAACUACGUGCCAGCAGCCGCGGUAAUACGUAGGGGGCAAGCGUUAUCCGGAUUUAUUGGGUUUAAAGGGUGCGUAGGCGGGCUUUUAAGUCAGCGGUGAAAAUUCGGGGCUCAACCCCGUCCGGCCGUUGAAACUGGGGGCCUUGAGUGGGCGAGAAGAAGGCGGAAUGCGUGGUGUAGCGGUGAAAUGCAUAGAUAUCACGCAGAACUCCGAUUGCGAAGGCAGCGUACCGGCGCCCAACUGACGCUGAAGCACGAAAGCGUGGGUAUCGAACAGGAUUAGAUACCCCAGUACC
rnacentral:rRNA from 1 species